UCCUGAGUAGCUCAGCGGUAGAGCGGGUGGNNUUAACCACUAGGUCGUAGGUUCGAACCCUACCUCAGGAGCCA
rnacentral:tRNA from 1 species